GUGUUUGAAACUCCUGAGUAAGGAAAAUUAUGAUUGGGGAUGACACUGAAUCCUAACAGCUAAUGUGAAAUGAAUUUCUGUGUGGGCAAAGCUGUCCCUAAGGUGACCUGCCUACUUUGCAGGAUGCCUGGGAGUUGUGAUGUGCCCA
rnacentral:snRNA from 1 species